UGAGUUUUGGGGAUGUAACUCUCAUGGUA
rnacentral:piRNA from 1 species